ensembl:lncRNA
GGAGGACAGGGUGAGAAGAAGACAGGAUGAGAGGAAGACAGGGUUAGAGGAAGAAAGAGUGAGAGGAAGACAGGUGAGAGGAAGACAGGGUGAGAGGAAGAAAGAGUGAGAGGAAGACAGCUGAGAGGAAGAAAGAAUGAGAGGAAGAAAGUGUGAGAGGAAGACAGCUGAGAGGAAGAAAGAGUGAGAGGAAGAAAGACUGAGAGGAAGACAGCUGAGAGGAAGAAAGAGUGAGAGGAAGACAGCUGAGAGGAAGACAGGGUGAGAGGAAGAAAGUGUGAGAGGAAGACAGGGUGAGCGGAAGAAAGAGUGAGAGGAAGAAAGAGUGAGAGGAGGAAAGUGUGAGAGGAAGAAAGUGUGAGAGGAAGACAGCUGAGAGAAAGAAAGUGUGAGAGGAAGAAAGAGUGAGAGGAAGACAGCUGAGAAGAAGACAGGGUGAGAGGAAGACAGGGUGCGAGGAAGACAGGGUGAUAAGAAGACAGGAUGAGAGGAAGACAGGGUGAUAAGAAGACAUGAUGUGAGGAAGACAGGGUGAGAGGAAGACAGCGUGAGAGGAAGACAGGGUGUUAAGAAGACAGGAUGAGAGAAAGACACGGUGAGAGGAAGACAGGGUGAGAGGAAGACAGGGUGAGAGGAAGACAGGGUGAGAGGAAGAAAGAGUGAGAGGAAGAAAGUGUGAGAGGAAGAAAUAGUGAGAGGAAACAGCUGAGAGGAAGAAAGUGUGAGAGGAAGAAAGAGUGAGAGGAAGACACGGUGAGAGGAAGACAGGGUGAGAGGAAGACAGGGUGAGAGGAAGAAAGAGUGAGAGGAUGACAGGGUGAGAGGAAGAAAGUGUGAGAGGAAGACACGGUGAGAGGAAGACAGGGUGAGAGGAAGACAGGGUGAGAGGAAGACACGGUGAGAGGAAGACAGGGUGAGAGGAAGACAGGGUGAGAGGAAGAAAGAGUGAGAGGAAGACACGGUGAGAGGAAGACAGGGUGAGAGGAAGACAGGGUGAGAGGAAGACAGGGUGAGAGGAAGAAAGAGUGGGAGGAAGACAGGGUGAGAGGAAGACAGGGUGAGAGGAAGAUAGGAAUGAAGAUAGAAAGACUGAGGGGUGGUAAGCAGUGGAACACAUGUAGGAAGCCAAACAUAUGGUUCAAAUUAUGAACCUCAUGCCAUGAAAACCC